rnacentral:rRNA from 1 species
CUCGUAGGCGGCCAACUAAGUCAGACGUGAAAUCCCUCGGCUUAACCGAGGAACUGCGUCUGAUACUGGAUGGCUGGAAUCUGGGAGAGGGAUGCGGAACUCUAGGUGUAGCGGUGAAAUUCGUAGAUAUUCGCAAGAACACCAGUGGCGAAGGCGGCCCACUGGGCCAUUACUGACGCUGAGGCACGAAAGCGUGGGAGCAAACA